rnacentral:rRNA from 1 species
UCCUACGGGAGGCAGCAGUGAGGAAUCUUGCGCAAUGGGGGCAACCCUGACGCAGCCACGCCGCGUGCCGGAAGACGGCCCUAUGGGUUGUAAACGGCUUUUAAUUGGGAAGAAAGUACGGGGUUUGCCCUGUAUUGACGGUACCGAUUGAAUCAGCACCGGCUAACUCCGUGCCAGCAGCCGCGGUAAUACGGAGGGUGCAAGCGUUGUCCGGAAUCAUUGGGUGUAAAGGGUGCGUAGGCUGGCGCCUAAGUCUGGGGUGAAAUCUUGCCGCUUAACGGUAAAAUUGCCCUGGAUACUGGGUGUCUUGAAUCUGACAGAGGUCGGUGGAAUUCGUAGUGUAGCGGUGAAAUGCAUAGAUAUUACGAAGAACAUCAGUGGCGAAGGCGGCCGGCUGGGUCAGUAUUGACGCUGAGGCAUGAGAGCGUGGGGAGCGAACAGGAUUAGAUACCCUGGUAGUCCACGCUGUAAACGAUGUAUGCUAGUUGUUGGGCUUUUGGGCUCAGUGACGCAGUUAACGCAGUAAGCAUACCACCUGGGGAGUACGUUCGCAAGAAUGAAACUCAAAGGAAUUGACGGA